GAAGUUAAAGGCAGUGGCUCAACCNUUGUAGGCUUUGGAAACUGUUUAACUNGAGUGCAGAAGGGGAGAGUGGAAUUCCAUGUGUAGCGGUGAAAUGCGUAGAUAUAUGGAGGAACACCGGUGGCGAAAGCGGCUCUCUGGUCUGUAACUGACGCUGAGGCUNGAAAGCGUGGGGAGCGAACAGGAUUAGAUACCCUGGUAGUNCACGCCGUAAACGAUGAGUGCUAGGUGUUAGGUCCUUUCCGGGACUUAGUGCCGCAGCUAACGCAUUAAGCACUCCGCCUGGGGAGUACGACCGCAAGGUUGAAACUCAAAGGAAUUGACGGGGGCCCGCACAAGCGGUGGAGCAUGUGGUUUAAUUCGAAGCAACGCGAAGAACCUUACCAGGUCUUGACAUCCCGAUGCCCGCUCUAGAGAUAGAGCUUUACUUCGGUACAUCGGUGACAGGUGGUGCAUGGUUGUCGUCAGCUCGUGUCGUGAGAUGUUGGGUUAAGUCCCGCAACGAGCGCAACCCUUAUUGUUAGUUGCCAUCAUUCAGUUGGGCACUCUAGCGAGACUGCCGGUAAUAAACCGGAGGAAGGUGGGGAUGACGUCAAAUCAUCAUGCCCCUUAUGACCUGGGCUACACACGUGCUACAAUGGCUGGUACAACGAGUCGCAAGCCGGUGACGGCAAGCUAAUCUCUGAAAGCCAGUCUCAGUUCGGAUUGUAGGCUGCAACUCGCCUACAUGAAGUCGGAAUCGCUAGUAAUCGCGGAUCAGCACGCCGCGGUGAAUACGUUCCCGGGCCUUGUACACACCGCCCGUCACACCACGAGAGUUUGUAACAC
rnacentral:rRNA from 1 species